UUUAAUGAGAGUUUGAUCCUGGCUCAGGACGAACGCUGGCGGCGUGCCUAAUACAUGCAAGUAGAACGCUGAUGUUUGGUGUUUACACUAGACUGAUGAGUUGCGAACGGGUGAGUAACGCGUAGGUAACCUGCCUCAUAGCGGGGGAUAACUAUUGGAAACGAUAGCUAAUACCGCAUAAGAGUAAUUAACACAUGUUAGUUAUUUAAAAGGAGCAAUUGCUUCACUGUGAGAUGGACCUGCGUUGUAUUAGCUAGUUGGUGAGGUAAAGGCUCACCAAGGCGACGAUACAUAGCCGACCUGAGAGGGUGAUCGGCCACACUGGGACUGAGACACGGCCCAGACUCCUACGGGAGGCAGCAGUAGGGAAUCUUCGGCAAUGGACGGAAGUCUGACCGAGCAACGCCGCGUGAGUGAAGAAGGUUUUCGGAUCGUAAAGCUCUGUUGUUAGAGAAGAACGUUGGUAGGAGUGGAAAAUCUACCAA
rnacentral:rRNA from 1 species